rnacentral:rRNA from 1 species
UACGGAGGAGGCAAGCGUUAUCAGGAAUUAUUGGGCGUAAAGCGUCCGUAGGUGGUCAUGUAAGUCGGUCGUCAAAGCCAGAGGCUCAACCUCUGUCAGGCGGUGGAAACUGCAAGACUAGAGAGAGGUAGGGGUAGAGGGAAUUCCCAGUGUAGCGGUGAAAUGCGUAGAGAUUGGGCAGAACAUCGGUGGCGAAAGCGCUCUACUGGUCCUUUUCUUACACUGAUGGACGAAAGCUAGGGGAGCGAAUGGG